rnacentral:lncRNA from 1 species
AUAAAUGCAUUUAAAUAUUUUUAGCCAAUACUUUAUAGGAUUUCAUAAAAAAAAUUGUUAAUAGAUCUACAAGUUUCAAAUAUAAACUUACCAUUUAUGCGAUAUUAAUAAUCGCAUUGGAACCAGUUACCUUUAUGUUUAUUAUUCGAAUUGGAAGGAAAAUUGUCAAUUAAUUUUUCAAAUGCACAGAGACAUCCAUACCAUUUUAAUGACAAACGAUUAUGCAGUAGAUAACCGACAAUACCUACAACUCGUUGGAUUUAGUAACAUUCGCUUAUAUAGCCCAGGUUACGAUCGGUCCGACAAAUUGCUCUGGGGCUGCAAAACGAAGAGGGGGAGCAGAACCUCACAUAUUAAUUCACCUCCUGCGGCAGGACCACUCAUUUCAUGUUUGGUGAAGCCGAUUGGUUGAUCAGUAUAUCGCGACGUCCCUUAAAAGAGGGAGAAGUCGUUAUCUAGAUUCACAUAAGGAUCGUCUGAUUCAAUCUCAUUUUUCGUCCCCCAUUCAUCGUUCCCAUACAUGGCUAACGCCAAGUCGUAAAAGAAGACUUCUAUCGUGGUCUACAAAAGUUUUUUUUUUUUCUUCUUCUUUUUUUUUAAGCCCGGCCG